rnacentral:tRNA from 1 species
GAUAAUAUGGCUGAGAUAUUAAGCAAUAAAUUGUAAAUUUAUAAACAGGAAAAUUCCUUAUUAUCAAG